rnacentral:rRNA from 1 species
AACGAACGCUGGCGGCAGGCUUAACACAUGCAAGUCGAGCGCCCCGCAAGGGGAGCGGCAGACGGGUGAGUAACGCGUGGGAACAUACCCCUUGGUUCGGAAUAACUCAGGGAAACUUGAGCUAAUACCGGAUACGUCGGCAACGAGAAAGAUUCAUCGCCGAGGGAUUGGCCCGCGUCCGAUUAGCUAGUUGGUGAGGUAACGGCUCACCAAGGCGACGAUCGGUAGCUGGUCUGAGAGGAUGAUCAGCCACAUUGGGACUGAGACACGGCCCAAACUCCUACGGGAGGCAGCAGUGGGGAAUAUUGGACAAUGGGCGCAAGCCUGAUCCAGCCAUGCCGCGUGAGUGAUGACGGCCUUAGGGUUGUAAAGCUCUUUCGCCAGGGACGAUAAUGACGGUACCUGGAUAAGAAGCCCCGGCUAACUUCGUGCCAGCCGCCGCCGUAACAC